rnacentral:rRNA from 1 species
UACGUAGGGUGCAAGCGUUAAUCGGAAUUACUGGGCGUAAAGCGUGCGCAGGCGGUUUUGUAAGUCUGUCGUGAAAGCCCCGGGCUCAACCUGGGAAUUGCAUUGGAGACUGCAAGGCUAGAAUCUGGCAGAGGGGGGUAGAAUUCCACGUGUAGCAGUGGAAUGCGUAGAGAUGUGGAGGAACAUCGAUGGCGAAGGCAGCCCCCUGGGUCAAGAUUGACGCUCAUGCACGAAAGCGUGGGGAGCAAACAGG